GACUUGCUCUGUAUGUCGGGCUCCCUGCACUUUUGGUGCGGCCAACCGAACAUAGGGCUGUCCCUUCACUCUCCCUCCCGUCAUUGAAUAUGUCGUGGUCGGGAUGCUUCCGAUCGGUUGCCUGUGCGGUUCUACCCUCUUUUGGGUAGCGAAGUCGUCCCUUGAUGGAUAUUUGCUUGCCCUUNUGACAUUUUUUUGUCGUUCGGGCAGCCGAAAUGUUGGCGAAAUCCUUGUGYUGGCGCGUGGUCGAAUGCCGUGCCGCUAUCACUUGGAUUUUUGCCGGCUCUCACGGAUGCGGUGCCUAGUGCUAGCUCUGCGGGACUUUGCCCCGCAGACUUCGGGAGGUCCCUUGUACGAAUCAYUGAAUMAUUGCUCUCAACGCCGUCUUGUCGUGCCGCCACCGCGGCACGCGGAUCGUGUUCCUUCGUGCAGUCGUUGACAGCRCGAUGUCGGACAUUAGCGGAGAGUUUUYGGUGGUCUCGUGCAUGCGGAAUGCCUCUCCGAUCGUAUGAGCAGCGAUUUCCGGAUUGCGUCGCGCGAAGGCCCUGCCCGUUCGGGUCGGGGCCGGAGCYGA
rnacentral:misc_RNA from 1 species